GACGAACGCUGGCGGCGUGCUUAACACAUGCAAGUCGAACGGAAAGGCCCUGCUCUUGUGGGGUGCUCGAGUGGCGAACGGGUGAGUAACACGCGAGUAACCUGUCCUUGACUUUGGGAUAACUUCAGGAAACUGGGGCUAAUACAGGAUAGGAGAUCUUGCUGCAUGGUGGGGGUUGGAAAGUGUCGGCGGUGGGGGAUGGUCUCGCGGCUUAUGAGCUUGUUGGUGGGGUAGUGGCUUACCAAGUCUUUGAAGGGUAGGCGGCGUGGGAGGGUGGCCGGCGACCAGACGCCUACGGGAGGGCGCAGACGGCUACCGGAGGCAGCGGGCGAAAGUAUGACGGAGUGAGGCGGAGCCUGAGACGAAGGUGCCGGGUGCGGAAUGACGGCCUUCGGGUGAAGAACCGCUGUGGACUGUGACGAGGCGGUCGUGACGGUAAUGGGUAAAGAAGCACCGGCUAACUACGUG
rnacentral:rRNA from 1 species